rnacentral:rRNA from 1 species
UGAACGCUGGCGGCAGGCCUAACACAUGCAAGUCGAAUGGUAACAGGAAACAGCUUGCUGUUUCGCUGACGAGUGGCGGACGGGUGAGUAAUGUCUGGGAAACUGCCUGAUGGAGGGGGAUAACUACUGGAAACGGUAGCUAAUACCGCAUAACGUCGCAAGACCAAAGAGGGGGACCUUCGGGCCUCUUGCCAUCAGAUGUGCCCAGAUGGGAUUAGCUAGUAGGUGGGGUAACGGAUCACCUAGGCGACGAUCCCUAGCUGGUCUGAGAGGAUGACCAGCCACACUGGAACUGAGACACGGUCCAGACUCCUACGGGAGGCAGCAGUGGGGAAUAUUGCACAAUGGGCGCAAGCCUGAUGCAGCCAUGCCGCGUGUAUGAAGAAGGCCUUCGGGUUGUAAAGUACUUUCAGCGGGGAGGAAGGGAGUAAAGUUAAUACCUUUGCUCAUUGACGUUACCCGCAGAAGAAGCACCGGCUAACUCCGUG